AGCAAAUAUGAAUUUGUAAUUGGUAUAGCUAUAUAUGAAAACAAAACAUAUCUUGAGGACGCCCUUUGCUUUUGUUUUGUCGUAUUGAACUAAAUAACAUUCACUUUAAGCAGAGGGUGCAAUAAGUACUUGUUUCCAAAUACAAAAGAAGAAGAAAACAAUCCUUAAUAUGUAUAGGGGAAGAUAAUUAGACAAGCAGGUUAGGGCCCGUCAAAGUGUCGAGCCAAGCCAAAAUAUAAGCAUCCACGUAAAUACAUGUGGGAGGUAUAUAUAUAUAUUAAUAGAGACCUAAAAAUUAAGUCUGCAUCCACGUAAAUACCUCCACACAAUUAACAGCUCCUCAAUUUGUUGGAAUGUUCCACGCCUCGCAAAAAGCACGAGCACUGACGAAGAAAAUAGUAAAGUGAAUUAGAUUCUUGAAACUAGCAUGACAAUAAUAAGAGUGAAAUAUAGAUGUCAAGGCAUAAUAACCUUCUUAACUGAUACAUAAGAUAUUGACAUAUAAUUAAAUGUGCAUUUCUUAAGCACAACGAAAACAAUUGCAUCAAUCACAAGCUGCAAAACAUAAGUCGAUAUCAAACCAAAAACUUAUCAAAAAUCUCUGUCCUCCUACACACGAAUACUGAAUUCCAUAAAAGCAACAGUCAUGUCUUCCGUAUUGAAAGAUACAACUCCUAGAUUCGUCCGCCAGUAGAGAAAUUAUAACACCUUUUUCAUGUAAUGUUGAAAGGAGAUGAAUUUAAUUCAGGAAUUGGCGCGAGGAAGCCUUCGUAUGAUAGUUAAGCUUAGGUGCCAUUAUAAAAAGUUAUGCAAAAUGAACUUUAACAUCCACAUCCCUAGCCUUAGACCCUACCCACUUGGUCUCCUGAACACACGCAAUGUUGAUCCUUCUCUUCCUAAGGGUCUUCACAAGCUCUAUGGACUUGCCCUGCAGGGUCCCUAUAUUCCAAGACCCAACCCUCAGCCUACCUUCACUACCCGCACGCCCUUCACUACUUCCCCCGCGGCCAAACCUUGGCCUCCCUCCCACUCCCGCCCUUUCCUCAUCCCCCGCCCCAACCCCCUCAGACAUGACCCUAUCCACCCAUUACUGCCCACAGCCACAACUAGGCGAAAGUAUAAGAGAAUAUAAAGAUAAUAUAAAUAUAUAAAGACAUAAACGAUGGUAAUAGUAAAGCAGCGGUAAUUAAUACAAGGCUCACACCAAUUCAAGGAAAUAUUUCAGCAACCAAACUAUACUCAAUUACUAGUAUAAUACGAAGAAUGAAAGAAUGCAGAAUGAAGAAUGAAAUAAGCAAAGGUUAGAAGUCACCAGAUUUCACUUGUAGACCAAGCCGGCAACCAAGCCCCGCGUCGACCUGCUGCCGGGGGAUCGCUACUGAGAUGGAUCCGCGGCUGCCGGCUGAAGACCGAGCUACAGCUGCUGCCCUGUUGUACGGCGCCGGCGGAGGGGGGGGUCUGGACAGAGAAGGGGAGGUACAGCAGGGGGGAACCGGAUCUCGGUGACGGCGGUCGAUGACCGGCGGUCAGCGUCGGUGACCGGUGCGAGAGAGAGGGAGAGAGGGUAGGGAGAGAGAGAGAGAGCUGUUAAAGAGAGAGAGAGCCGUUAAGGCAGCGUCGUAGGUCGGCGUCGGGGCCAGAGGUCGGGCCCGGUGGUCGGGUCGGGUCGGCGCCGACGGUCGGCGACGGCGCCGAAGGCCGUGGACCGAGAUAGAGAGUCUAGUGAGAGAGAGAGUCUAGUGAGAGAGAGAGCCGUGAGAGAACUAACUAGUCAAAAUAUCUAAUCAUCAUUUGAAGCAUUUCAGUGAUUACUAAUACAAAAGUAUAUAUUACUGAGAACUUAGAAGGGUACAUGGAAGGAUUUGAAAUAUCUUUCCAUUCUUUUUUAGUAAUCUUAUAGGGAUACAACACGAGAGUUUUGAGAGAUCAUUGAUCCAAAUACUACUAUCGCCGAGUUUUAAUAAGUUCUGAUGAAUCUAAGAUUUCUUGUUUUUUUUAAAAAGAAAGUGAGACCCUUUUCUUUUUUGAAAAAGAAUAUUACUUUCUUGCAUAAAUGAGCUCCCUGGUUGGCAAUCUUGUACAAUAUAAAAAUCCCCUUUUUGCUCCUUUUUUGCUCAUUCUCUCACCUUACCUCUUGAGAGUUAAACCCUAAAAUAGUGUGAGAGCUUAAAAGUGAAAUUUGUGGGUGCUUGAAAAGCUAGAUUAACAUCUAUUUAUUGAUUCUCUUACGGAUUUAAGAUAAGAAUUCACCCUUUUCUUAGGAAAUUUCUUGAUUAAUUUCUCAAAACCUCAAAAAUCUUAGGACUUGAUUUUAAACCCCAAUUUCACUCCUUUUCACUUGAAUAAUGUUCCUAAUCAUAUAAUUACUAGUUUGUUAUCAAUCUCAUUUCCAAACAACUUUGAUUCUUUAUUUUUAAUACGGUUUUGAAAGAUUUUACUCGGUAAAGCUCAAAAAUAAUUUUUCUUCGAUUUGAACAUCAUUUUUGACUCGAUUCGACUUGGGUUUACAACUAUAGAUUCUCAAAAAUAUGGAGAAUAUGUUUUGAAGUAAAGUUAUAAAUUUGCCCUUCUUUUUUUGAAAAUUCAUUUUGGGAGUCCGUUUUGACCCCAAAUCAAAAGUAGGCAAUAUGGAUAUCGCUGGCUUUGUUUUGACGCUUAGAUUCUAUAUUUCUUGAUUUUAAAUAAUUUCAAAAUUGUUUAUUAGAAGUAAGAUGUAAUAAUCCAUAAAUCCUAAUCAUUUAGGUCCGUUAUAGCAUGCCAAAAGGGGUCCCAAACUUAGAAAAAUUCAGCUAAGUGUUAAGACUUAGAAGCGUUUUUAGUCUUUGAAAUUGGAUGAUCUUAUUUUUGAUCUUUACGAUCUUAGAAUGUCGAUUUACAAGUUAAUUCAUGACCAGGGAUGUCAAUAAGUCAUAUUGGGUGAGUUUCAAAAUUUUAAGACUUCGUUUGGGUCAUGUUUGGAUGGGCAAAACAACAAGCCAACACGAUCUUAAUGCGUCACGUUGGCUACUACAUUGCACCCAUCAACAUGAUUUUGCCAUGAAAUGUUAUCAUGUGGUCCCAUUCAUGUGCAAGUUCAUCCCUCUCAAAUGUUUGACAAAAUAUCUAAAUGAAUGCAUAGUGGACAAGUAACUAAUGUAAUGCCUUCAAGAUUUUGCCAUGUUUUACUAUUGAUGCUAUCGAGUCUUGGGGAUAUUCAAUACCUGACAAUCUAGCUGUUUACCUAGAAUUACAGUAUCUAUAGAAUAGUCUCAGUAACAUCAUGAACAGUAGUACUCAGUCAGUUACAGAACUUAGUGAACUCAGUCCAGUUCAAUUAGUCAACAUGAUCAAUAAUAUUUCAGUCAUGCCUAGUACAAUUUAAUGAUUAGUUCAGUAUUUAUUCAGUUGGGAGUAGGAUUCAGCACCAACCGAAUCUAUGGAUGGGGAUAUUUUUGCCAGCAAAGGGUUUGACCUUAGUAGCAGUCCCUCCGUUAUAAAACUACAUAGCCAACAUAGGGUAAGUCAUCCUCCUAUCAGAUUAGAGUUGACGCAACCAUAUAUACAAUUCAUGAGUCUUCCUGCUAGAUUAGGGUUGACACAACAUUAUUAGUAUCCCUUGGCAAGGUGCUAACACCCUUCCAACUGGGGUCACAGGUUAGACACCAACUCAGUUUAUAAUAGGGGUAUGUUAGUUAUAUGAACACUCCCACAGUUACAGUUUUAGUAUUCAGUACUCAGUAAUCAAUAUUCAGUCUCAAAAUUCAGUAAAAAACUCAGAUAAUUCUACAGAACCAUGGCUAUCAGUUAUUAGUUACUUAACCAUCUAAAUUCAGUACUUCAAUAUUAGUCUAAAUCUCAGUUAUCAGUAUUCAGUUACCAGUACUUAGUACUUCAGUUUCAGUCUAAUUCAGAUAGAGGUUAUAUGCACAAUAUUGCAUAGUCAUCAUGAUUAGUAGUUACAGUUUUGCAUGUACUCUUAUUCAGUUAUUUCAUGAUGUUCAUUCAGUCAGUUAUCAUCUCAUGUAUAUGAACCCAUGUAUAUCAGCCUGCCUCACUUAGCAUACCAGUACAUUCAAAGUACUUAUGCAUACUCUGUGUUUUACGCUAUGAUGUCUCAUGUCAUAGGUUCAAACGCAUGAGCUUCUGACCGUACUUAGCAGCUUAGGUUAUCAACAGCAGUUAUAGUAGUGAGUCAUCAUAUUUUAAGGACAGAGUUAUUUAUUUCAGCAUUCCAGUAGUUCAGUAUGUUCAACAGUCGGAGCUAGAUGGAGACUUGUCCUAUCAACUCCAUAUUCAGACAGUUAGAGGCUUUCAGACUAGACUAUUUUAGACAGAUAUUUAGUUUUUCAGUAUUAUUAUCAGUAUUCAGUAUUUGUUUUCUAUUUAUGAACCUUAUGGAAAUUUCAGCCUAACUUCCGCAUAUAUUUUCAUUAUUAUUAUUAUUAUUCAGUGCUCACAGCAGGUACCAGUCAUGGGUUAGCUUGUGGUCCUUCGAAAUUGUAAGCACCGUGUGAUGCCUAGGGUACAGUAUCAGGGUGUUACAAACUUUGUACUAGAGCCUAAGGUUCAAAAAAGUCCUAGGGAGUCUGAAAGCCACAUCAAGUAGAGUCUUGUGCAUGGUCGUGUAGCGCCCCACACUUAUGGACAGUAGGCUAUGAGGCAUUUUUAGGAAAAGUUCCCUUCUUCUAGUUCAUGUUGUACGAGUGAGCAUGAGUUCAAGUUAAACUCUCUAUCUAAUCUAAGUUUUCCUUCUAUUUAUAGAAUAUGCCCCCCAAAAGACUAAUGGAAGAAGAACUGGAAAUUAGCCAGCAUGUCUGCCUGUUCAGGCAGAUCCCCUGGAUGAGCAUGUUUGUUACGCAGAAUUUAGCGCAACUUUCACCACUCUAGCUCAUUCUGUGGUAGCCUAAAAUAAAUGCCCUUCUGCUGUUUAUGCCAACCCAGUGGCCAAUACUACUGCAUCUAGAAUUUGGGAUUUCACCCGAAUGAACCCUCUUUUAUUUUCAAGGUCUAAGUCUGCAGAGGACCUACAAAAAUUCCUUGACAUGAUGCAGAAGGUCACAGAUAUUAUGGGGGUAACUUCUAGUGAGAGUGCUGAGUUUGCUGCAUAUCAGUUGUAGGAUGUGGCUCAUACAUGGUUUAAGUAAUGAAAGACAGAUAGGGCCACAGAUGUAGGGCCUAUAGAAUAGGAAGAGUUUGCUGCUGCCUUUCUAGAUAGGUUCUUCCAAUGGUAGUUAAGGGAAACUAAGGUGUUAAAAUUUAUUAACUUAAAGCUUAGAAGCAUGACAGUGAAAGAGUAUUCUCUCAAGUUUACUCAGUUAGCCAAAUAUGCUCCUCAUGUGGUAGCUGGUAGCAGAUCUAAGAUGAGUAAGUUCAUGUCUGGUGUGUCUGACAGUGUGGUUAAUGAGUGUAGGACCAUAAUUCUUAUUAAGGAGAUGGACUUGGCUUGGUUGAUGGUCCAUGCUCAACAGAUAGAAAAUAAAAAGACUAAGAAGUAGGAGAGAGAAAAUAAGAAGGCUAGAAUAGGUAGCUUCAACUUCACUCAGCCUAAGUUAGAGAGUGGUAAUCGUCCUCAGUUUUUCCUAAAAUCUUCAGUUUCAGCUCCAUCCUCAGCCAGUGCUCUAGUGCCUAAAUUCAGAAAUGGUAAAAAGGAUAGGGCGCCAGACUCUAAAUCUCAGGGUAGUGUUAAUAGUGCUCAAACAAAUUCUCUUUGCCAGAAGUAUGGCAGAAACCAUCAAGGUAUCUGCAGAGCUGGCAGUGAUGUAUGUUUUGGAUGUGGAAAUCCAAGACAUAGGGUUAGAGAGUGUCCUUAGGUGGGUUCGCAGAGUCAGUAUAAUCGUCCCCCAGCUCAGUCCUGUCACCCAUUUAGCAGGGUGCCACUUCUUGUGCCACCAGUGGGCAACACCCAAAUAGGCUUUAUACACUUCAGUCUUGACAGGAUCAGGAAAGUUCUCCUGAUGUGGUCACUGGUACGUUACAAAUUUAUCAUUUAUAUGUUUAUACUUUGCUAGAUCCAGAAGCUUUUUUAUCCUUUGUAACUCCUUAUAUAGAUGUUGACUUCGGAGUCAGUUUUGAAAUCCUAGUAGAGCCCUUUUUAGUCUUCACCCCAGUGGAAAAUUCUAUCAUAGUCUGGCGGGUAUACAGGAACUGUCCGAUUAUGGUAUCUCAGAAAGUUACUUCAGCGAACUUAGUAGAGUUAGAGAUGACAGAUUUUGACGUCAUUCUCGGCAUGGAUUAGCUUCAUUCAUGCUAUGCUUCAGUUGACUAUAGAAAUAGAGUUGUCUAUUUUCAGUUCCCAAAUGAACCUAUCCUAGAAUGGAGGGGUAGUACUUCAGUACUUAUGGGUUAGCUUGUUUCCUACCUUAGGGUGAGAAAAAUGAUAUCUAAGGGGUGUGUCUAUCAUCUCGUUUGAGUUAAAGACUCUAGUUGGGAGAUCCCUAAUCUUGAGUCAGUUUUAGUAGCAUGUGAAUUUCCAAAUUUGUUUCUUGAAGAUCUUUUCGGAGUUCCUUCCGAGAGGGAAAUUAACUUUGGAAUAGACCUUUUUUUAGAUACUUAACCUAUCUCUAUUUUGCCAUACAAAAUGGCUCUAGCAGAACUCAAAGAAUUAAAAGAACAGUUGAAGGAUCUCCUAGAUAAGGGGUUCAUCAGGCCUAGUGUUUCCAUGUGGGGUGCACCAAUUCUAUUCGUGCGUAAGAAAGAUAAUUUUCAUAGAAUAUUUAUUGACUAUCGUUAGUUGAACAAAGUCACAGCCAAGAACAAGUAUCCACUUCCCAGAAUCGGUGACUUAUUUGACCAACUUCAGGGUGCCAGUUACUUUUCUAAGAUAGAACUUAGAUCAGGCUAUCAUCAGCUCAGAGUCAGAGAAUGUGACAUUUUGAAAUUAACUUUUAGAACUCGGUAUGGUCACUUCAAAUUCCUAGUCAUGUCAUUUGGUCUUACCAAUUCCCCGACAACUUUCAUGGACUUGAUGAACCGUGUGUUCAAGAAUUACUUACACAUAUUUAUUAUAGUCUUCAUAGAUAACGUUCUUGUCUACUCUCGCAGUGAAUAUGAUCACGUAAACUAUCUCAGAAUUGUAUUGCAGACCCUUAGAGCCCAUCUAUUAUUUGCCAAAUUCAGUAAAUGUGAAUUUUGGCUAAGGUUAAUAGCUUUUCUUGGUCAUAUAAUUUUUGGUGAUGGCAUUAGAGUUGAUCCUCAAAAGACCAAAGAAGUGAGAAACUCACCCUGGCCCCUCUCUCCAUUAGAUAUCAGGAGUUUCUUAGGUUUAGCUGGCUAUUACCGGUGGUUUGUUAAAGGAUUUUCGUCUAUCACAUCCCCCAUGUCUAGAUUAACUCAGAAGAAAGUCAAAUUCUAGUUUUCAAAUCCUUGUAAGAAGAGUUUUUAGGAGUUGAAGACUCGACUCACAACAACCUCAGUUUUGACUUUGCCCGACGAUUCAGAUGGGUUUACUACGUUUUGUGAUGCUUUCAGAGUUGUUUUAGGGGUGUGUUUUGAUGCAGAAGGGUAACGUUAUAGCCUAUGCCUCUAGACUGCUUAAGCCACAUAAAAAAAAGUACCCCACGCUGAUCUUGAGUUAGCAACUGUAGUGUUUGCCUUAAUGAUUUAGAGGCACUAUUUAUAUGGGGUACAUGUUGAUGUGUUCACAGACCAUAAAAGUUUGCAGUAUGUAUUUUCUCAGAAAGACUUAAACUUACGUCAGAAAAGGUGGUUAGUGUUAUGAAAAGACUAUGAUAUGAGUGUUUUGUAUUAUCCGGGCAAGGCUAAUAUAGUGGCUGGUGCUCUCAGUAAAUUGUCCAUGGAUAGUAUUGCUCACGUUGAGGAUGGUAAGAAGAAGUUAGUUCAGGAGGUUCAUCAGCUUUCCAGGUUGGGUGUUCAUUUAGUUAAUCCAGUUGAGGGUAGUGUAUGGGUGCAGAAUAGUUUAGAAUCAUAUUUGGUUUUUGAAGUAAAAGAAAAAUAGGAUAGAGAUCCCAGUUUAGUUAAGCAGAAAUAGUCAGUCAAAGAUAGAAAAAUCGAGGUUUUCUCCCAAGGGGGAGAUGGUGUGUUGCGCUGCUACGGUAGAUUAUGUAAGCCAUGUGUGGUUGGCGUGAGAUAGUGGAUUCUUAAAGAAGGCUUGGUGUUCGUUACUCGAUUCAUCUAGGGGCUACUAAGAUGUACCAUGACUUGCGGUAAGUCUAUUGGUGGAGUGGGAUGAAGAGUGACAUUGCAGAGUUUGUGGCUAAGUACUCUACGUGUCAACAGGUUAAGAUUGAGCAUCAAAACCUAGUGUGUCUAUUCAGGCGUUCAUUAUUCCCACAUGGAAGUGGGAGAAAGUGAACAUGGACUUCGUGAUGGGUUUGCCUCGUACUCAUCAUUAACAUGAUUCCAUUUGGGUUAUUGUAGACAGGAUGACCAAAUCCGCUCUUUUCUUGUUGGUCCAUACCUCUUACUCAGCCGAGGAUUAUGCCAAGCUCUAUGUUAGAGAGUUGGUCAGAUUGUACGGAGUUUCACUAUCCAUCAUUUCAGAUAGAGGUACGCAGUUCACCUCUUACUUUUGAAAAGCCUUUCAAAAGGGUCUUGGUACCCAAGUUCACCUCGGUACAACCUUUCACCCUCAGAUAGAUGGUCAAGCAGAAAGGACCAUUCAGACUUUAGAAGAUAUGUUGAGAGUGUGUGUUGUUGACUUUAAGAGUAGUUGGGAUGAUCACUUGCCUUUGAUUCAAAUGGCCCAGUUUGAGGAACUUUAUGGUAGGAAAUGUAGGUCUCUUAUUGGGUGGUUUAAAGUUGGAGAGGCCGCAAUGGUAGGGCCUGAUUUGGUGUUUGACACCUUAGAGGAGGUUCAGUUGAUCAGGGAAUGGCUUAAGAUAGCUCAGAGCCAACAGAAAUUGUAUGCUUAUGUGAGAAGAAAAAAUCUCGAGAUUGAGAUUGGUGGUUAUGUAUACUUAAAAAUCUCUCCCAUAAAGGGAGUGAAGAGGUUUGGCAAGAAGGGGAAGCUCAGUCCCCGAUAUGUUGGUCCUUAUCGAAUUCUCGAUCGUUUCAGAAAGGUAGCUUACGAGAUUGAGUGGCCUUCAGACUUAGAUUUAGUACACCCAGUGUUUCACAUCUCCUUGCAAAAUAAAUGCAUUGGUGAUCCAGCAGUAGGAGUCCCUAUAGAUAGUAUAGAUGUUCAGAAUAGCAUCUCUUAUGAGGAAGUCCCAGUCAAAAUCCUUGAUCAUCAAAUUCACCGAAUGAGGAACAAAGAAGUUUCUUUGGUCAAAGUUCUUUGGCGGAAUCAGUCCGUUGAGGGAGGUACUUAGGAAGCAGAAGCAGAUAUGUGAACCAAGUAUCCUCACCUCUUCUCCGCAAACUCAGACUCAACUUGAGGUAACAGUCUUUCUUACAUUUACUCAUUUCCAUGCUUAGAUUACCUUUAGAAACCUGGUAUCAAUUACCAUUGCAUAUCAUCCUCAUGAAAGUCAUGCAUUCAUAAAUUAGUUCAGCCAUGUAAUCAUGCUUCAUUUAUGCAUGUUCAGUAUGAAAACUCAAUUUAUUAGCAGUUUCAGUCAUGUAAUUAUAUUUCAGUUGUCCAUGUUCAGCAUAUAAACUUAAACUAUCAGUAUUCUCAGUUCAGUCAGUCUCAUUCGAGGAUGAAUGUUCUCAAGGGGGAGAUAUUGUAAGAGCCCACAAAUCCUAGUCAUUUCGGUCCUUUAUAGCAUGCCAAAAUGGGUCCCAGACUUAGAAAAAUUCAGCUAAGUUUUAAGACUUAGAAGCAUUUUUAACCUUCGAAAUUGGAUGAUCUUAUUUUUGAACUUUCCAACCUUAGAAUGUCGAUUUUCAAGUUGAUUAAUGAUCAGGGAUGUCAAUAGGUCAUAUUAUGUGAGUUUCGAAUUUUUUGGAAUUCAUUUGGGUCAUGUUUGGAUGGUAAAAGUAGCAAGCCAACGCGAUCUUGAAGCGUCACUUUGGAUACCACAUUGCACCCAUUGACGCGAUGCGUCGGUAAUCGGAUUGAUCCCAUAGACGCGAUGCAUCGCCAAUUGCGUCGCUGGGUAGUUUUUGUGCAUUAAAUUUUGAGUUUCCAAGGGCAUUUAAGUCCUUUUCCCCUUACCCAAUUCCGCUAAAACACAAGAUUAAGCCCCCCAAAAGGCAAAAUUCAUUCUUUAUUCUCAAAAUUCCUCUCAAGAACAAACCCUAGUUCAUCAAGCUCAAGAUUCAAGUCCCAAGUAUUCACCACAAUUCUCAAAGAAAUUAAUAAUCAAGGUAUGUUAGGUGUUUAUCCUUGGGUUUCCUUCGACCCUUGGUGUUUAAGAACCUUUUUUAAAAUUAUAAGUUUAUUGAUUUCAUGAUUUACAUGUUUGAAUUGGAUAAUGUUCAUGUAUGUAUUGUUGUAUGGUUUUCAAAUCAAAAUUCAUACAAAAGCAGCCUCACCUACCUCAAAGCAACCAAUAUGAGAUCUACAUCUCCUUCCAUGGAGAGCCUCUAAUGGAGUUAUGUGUAUACUGGAGUGAUAAAUAUUGUUGUAAGCAAACUCAAUCAAAGGUAAGUGGUCAUCCCAACUACCUUUAAAGUAAAUAACACAUGACCUAAACAUGUCCUCUAUAGUAUGAAUGGUCCGUUCUGCUUGACCCUCUGUCUAAGGAUAAAAAGUUGUACUGAGAUGAACUUGGGUACCAAGACCCUUUUGAAAAACCUUCCAAAAGUGAGAGGUAAACUGAGCACCUUUAUCUGAAAUAAUAGACAACAAAAUCCCGUGCAACUUAACCAACUCUUUGAGAUAAUUUCUAGCAUAAUCCUCGGCUGAAUACGACGUAUAAACUGGCAAAAAAUGAGCUGAUUUGGUCAUUCUAUCUACAAUUACCCAAAUUGAAUCAUACUGACGACGCGUACGAGGCAACCUUAUCACAAAAUACAUGUUCUCCACUUUCCACUUCCAAGUGGGGAUGCUAAACUCCUACAAUGUACCACUAGGCCUUUGGUGCUCAAUUUUGACUUGUUGACAAUCUGAAUACUUAGCCACAAACUCUGUAAUAUCCUUCUUCAUACCAUUCCACCAAUAGAUUUCCCACAAAUAAUGGUACAUCUUAGUGGUUCCUGGAUGAAUAGAGUACCAUGCACGAUGAAUUUCUGCUAAAAUUCGUUGUCUGAAACCAGAUACACACGGAACACAUAACCUACCUUGAAAACAAAGCACACCAUCUCCCCCUUGGGAUAAAACCUCCACCUUCUAGUCUUUAGCUGCCUCUUCAACUUAACCAAACAGGGAUCCCUAUCUUGCUUUUCUUUCACUUCGGCAACCAAUGAAGAUUCCGAACCAUUCUGAACCCAUAUACUACCUUCAGCUGAAUCAACUAAUCAAACACCUAAUAUAGCAAGCUGAUGAACCUCAUGGACUAAAUUCUUCUUAUCUCCCUCAACAUUAGCAACACUACCCAUAUACAAUCUACUAAGGGCAUCUUUUACUAUAUUGGCCUUACUCGGAUGAUACAACACACUCAUAUCAUAAUCUUUUAACAACUCAAGCCAUCUUCUCUGUUGAAGAUUCAAAUAUUUUUGCAUGAACAUAUACUGUAAACUCUUAUGAUCCGUGAACACAUUAAUAUGAACCCUAUAAAGAUAAUUUCUCUAAAUUUUCAAAGCAAAAACAAUAGCUGUCAACUCAAGAUCAAAGGUAGGAAAUUUUUUUCAUGGGGUUUAAGCUGCCUAGAGUCUUAGGCUAUGACCUUGCCUCUCUACAUCAAAACACAACCAAGACCAACUCUGGAAGUAUCACAAUAAACUACAAAUCCAUUUGGCAAAGUUAAGACUAGGGGAAAAAGUGAUCCGAGUCUUUAACUCCUAAAAACUCUUCUCGCAAGAAUCUGACCACUAAAAUUUGACUUUCUUCUGAGUCAAUCAAGACAUGGGGCAAUCGAAUAAAACCGUUCAAUAAGCCAUAUGUAAUAGCUAGCACAACCCAAGAAACACCUGAUGUAUGAUGCAGAUAUAGGUCUAGGCCAGUUUCUCACUGCUUCGGUAUUUUAAAGGUAAACUCGGAUGCCAUUACCAGAAACUAUAUGGUCGAGGAAAGCUACUGAUCUUAGACAAAAUUCGCACUUACUGAACUUAGCGAAUAACUAAUGAUCUCUAAGGGUGUGCAAAACAACCUUCAAAUGAUUUGGAUGAUCAUUCUUAUUACUGGAAUAGACAAGGAUAUUAUCAAUGAAGACAAUGAAGAACAUGUCUAAGUACUGCUUGAAAACCCUAUUCAUCAAGUCCAUAAAAUCUACAGGGGUAUUUGUUAGUCCGGAGGACAUAACUAAGAAUUCACAGUGACCAUACUGAGUUCUAAAGGCUGUCUUCGAGAUGUCAAAUUCUCUGACUCUAAGAUGAUGAUAGCCGGAUCUGAGGGCUAUCUUAGAUAAUUAACUAACCCCCUAAAGUUGGUCUAACAAGCCAUCAAUUCAUUAGAGUGGAUACUUUUUCUUGAUUGUGACUUUAUUCAACUGACGGUAGUCGAUGCACAUUCUGAGAGAAUCAUCUUUCUUACGCACGAACAACACUGGAGCGCCCCAUGGAGAAACACUAGGCUUGAUUAAACCCUUUUCUAAGAGAUUUUUUAUUUGUUCCUUCAAUUUCUUAAACUCAGCUGGAGUCAUUCUGUAGGGUGGAAUAAAGAUAGGUUGUGUCUGGAAGGAGAUCUAUUUCGAAGUCACUAAAACUCCAGGACGAUCUUUAAGGAAUACAUCUGGAAAUUCAUUUACUAUUGGAACUGACUCAAGACUCUAAGCCUCAGAAUUUAAGUCUUUGACUCGGACAAGAGGUAAAUACACCCCUUGGAUAUCAUCUUUCUUGCUCUAAGAUAGGAAAUAAACUGACAUUUAGGUACUGAAGUACUCCCCCUCCAUUCAAUAACUGGUUCAUUAGGAAACUAAAAUUGAACGACUCUAUUUAUACAGUCAAUUGAGACAUAUCAUGAGUGGAGCCAAUCCAUGUUGAGAAUGACAUCGAAAUAAGUCAUCUCUAACUCCACAAGAUCAACUAAAGUGAUUUUUUGAGAUACUGUGAUCGGGCAAUUUAUGUAUACUCGCCUGGCUAUAAUAGAUCUAUCCAUCGAGGUAAACACUGAGUAAGGUUUUGCUAACAUUUUGGGACUGAAACCUAAGUUGACGGCUAUAUAAGGAGUCACAAAAGAAAGUGAAGCUCCGGGGUCUAAUAAAAUAUAAACAUAAAUAUGAAAGACCUGUAACAUAUGCAUAACCAUAUCGGAAGANNNNNNNNNNNNNNNNNNNNNNNNNNNNNNNNNNNNNUCUGGCGAUGUCCACUGGUUGUACUAGAAGUAGCACGUUACUGAGUUGGGCGAUUAGCUGGAGCAAAAGAACGAUUGGACUAACCUGUUGAUCAGCCCCUGGGCAAUCCCCACUCUGUUGCCUGGGUUGCCACAUCUAAAACACAUAUCACUACCUGUAUUAUAUUCACCCUGAUGAUUAUACCAUAUUUCUAGAAAAUCAAAUUAGUAUGACCACUGUUCACUUUACCUUGGGACUUAAAGCCUGGCACUCUAUCCCGACUAUCUUGCCUGAACUUAGGCACUGGCGCACUAGCUGAAAAUAGAGCUGGGGCUAAAAAUUUCUGAUGGAAAUGAGAACGAUUACCAUCGUCUGACCUUGGUUGAGAAAAGUUGGAACUACCUAUUCUAGCCCUCUUAUUCUCUCUCUCCUUCCCCUUACGCUUCUUCUCCCCAAUUAACUAAGCAUGAACCAUGAGUCUAGAUAGAUCCAUCUCCUUAAUCAACAUGGCAGUCCUAUACUCCUUAACCACACUAUCAGAUACACCAGAUACAAACUUACUCAUUCUAGACCUAUUAUCCGCCACCAUAGUAGGAGCAUACCUCACCAAUUUAGUGAACUUAAGUGAGUACUCCUUCACGUUCAUAUUACCUUUCUUCAAAUUGAUGAACUCCUAAACCUUAUCAUCCCUCAACUCUAUGGGAAAGAACCUAUUUAAGAAAGUUGUGGCAAACUCCUCUCUACUCUACAGGCCCUACAUCAACGCUUCGGUCCUCAUUUACUGCUUAAACCAGGUGUGAGAUACACCCUAUAACUGAUAUGCAACCUACUCUACACUCUCACUCGAAGUGACACCCAUGGUAUCUUUCACUUUCUGCACUAUGUCCAGAAACUCCUGUGGAUCCUCCCCAGACUUGGACCCAAAAAACAGAGGGAGAUUCAUCCGAGUGAAAUCUCGAAUCCUAACGACACCUAUAUUUUCCACUGGAUUGGCUGGGGCAACAACCUAAUGGUUGUUCUGAGUAGCUACAAAAUGGUAUAGGGUAGUGAAAGUAGCCUUGAAUUCAGCGUGAGACACAUGUUCAUUCAGGGGAUUUUCCUGAAUAUGUGGUAGUGCAGGAUGAUCCCCGUUCCUUCUUCCAUUAUUUCUUUUGGGAGGCAUUCUCCAUAAAUGGAAUGAAGGAUGAGUUAGAAAGAGGAAUUUAAUAGAGCUCAUGCUCUUUCUCAUGACAUGAACACUGAAAGAAGGGAAACUUUCGUAAAAUGUCUCGUAGGCUCUUGCCCAUAAGUGUGGUGUGCUUCAUACCCAUGCAUAAGAAUCUACUCAACGCGACUUUCAGACACCCUAGGACACUUUGAAACCUUAGACUCUGAUACUAAGUUUUGUCAUAACCCAAGGCUACCACUUGUCGAGACAACGAUGCUUACAACCACAAGUGACCACAAACUAAGCUAUGAGCUGGUAACUGCUGCGAGCACUGAGUAAAAUAGUAAUACAACAUAUGUAUGGAAGAAAAGUUGAUAAGAUACUGUAAAUCCGAAUACUGAAAUAAAGCAAGAACCCAUAUUUUAAUCAAAGAUAGGGUUUUUAAACUCAAUGGGUGAAAGAGACCCAUUGAUGAAUACCCCACAUACCUCUAUUGUUAGGUUAUUGAAGAUUGCUUGUACUUGGGAGCUUGAACUCUUGGAUUCUUGAAGAAAGAGCUUUGGUUUUGUUCUUGGGAAGGAAGAGGGUUUUUAUUGAGAGUAAUUUUAAGAGAAAGGGGCAAAUAAUACCCCUAUGAAUGCCGCAAAUCGUAUUAUGGAUAAAUUGGGUUAAGGGAAAAACACUUACUUACCCCUUUAUUUCAUUAAUUAAAGAGCUGGAUGGAAGAGAGCAACACAUCGUGUCUCUCUCUUCGAAGGAGACAACAACGCACCACGGACCCCAUCCCCAUGGGAGAGACUAAUGCGCCGUGGGCUUAUCACAUUGGCUCACUAUUUUAACUAUCUAAACACAUCCGAAACCUCAUCCGAAAAUCCUGAAACUCUCCCGAGAUAUACUUUUAACCUCUCUAAACAUGAAUCAACUCAAAAACUAAUGUCUUAGGGUCGGGAAGACUAAAAUAAGAAAUGGUGAAGUUUAGGAAUCUUGAAAAUGACUAAGUCCUUAACACUUAGUGAAAAUUUCAAGCCUUGGACCCCUCAAGCAUGCAACUACAACUGAACCGAGUUUAGGAUCUUAUGGGAUAUUACACAAUGCCUCCGUAUUGUGGACCCUAUAGCGGGGAAAUAGCCUACGCAGCACGGAACCAAUCACAGGGUAAUAGCCUACGCGGCACGGAGGACCCUAUCGCGGGGCAAUAGCCUACGUGACGUGACUCUAUCUUGGAGGCUCACUGUCUUUGCGGUCGAAAAAUGCCCCAAAUCCCAUCCAAAAAUUCUAACACCCUUUUGAGACAUACCAUUAACAUCCCUAAACAUAUUUCAACUCAAAAACUAAUGUCAGGUUUGGGAAGGCCAAAAAUAAAAUUCGUAAAAUCUUGGGGUCUUGAAAAUGACUAAGUCCUCAACACUUACUGAAAAUUUCAUGCCUUGGACCCCUUAACAGGCAACCAGAAGCUGAGUCGAGCUUAGAAUCUUAUGAGGUAUUACAAUAUCUCCCCCUUGGAACCAUUCAUCCUAAAAUAAAAUUGGUUAAGCUGGGAUACUAAGGAUACUGAGAGCGUAUACUGAAUACUGAUAGAUGAAACAUUAAAACUUUUAUCAUGAAACUAAUUUCUGAGCUGACUUGACUCUAUUGACUAUAUAGAGCUAAUUUAUGGUAAGAGAUUAGAACUCACUUGAAAUGUUCAUGAUACAACCAUACAUAUAGAACUGCUAAGUGAUAACUGAUGCAAUAAAAUUCCAAAAGUUACUAUGGAGGGAAUAAAGUUUGUAACUUCUCAUUAGGAAUUGUUCCUCAACAAAACACAUAUAGGAAUCAAAAGAAAAGGGCUUCAUGGCAUCACUAAGUACGUUAUGUAAGAACGAAUCAUGAGACAAUGAGACUGAGGUUGUACAAGGGGUAUCACAAUGUCUGAGCUGGAAUACUUGGAAAACUAAGAUCAUGUACUAAAUAUUAUGUACUAAGUCUUGACUAAAUAGCUGAAUUUGAAACAUGAUGCUUGGACUAAACUAAAUUCGCAACAUACAUGUGUGCGAUCAAAUUACCUCAUGGAAUAGCCAAAUUCAUGAAACUUCAGAUAGUAAGACUCGAUGGAAAGAUGGAAAAUCAUAGGAGCUUAUCUGUCUGAUUGCUAAAAUAAAUUGUUGGCUAUACACACUAAAUUAUACUGAAAGCUUACACUCAACUGGAGUGUUUCUUCAACACUUUUUCUGAGAAUUUCUAAUAACAUUAGGGAGCAAAGAAUUUUGGGCAUGAUCUGAGUGAGAUAUCAAAAUAAGGAAUCUUAAUAUAGCUAUAACUCUGUAACAUGGAACAGAGGCCUAUGAAACAUAAGUUGGGAUAGAAUUACUAGGCCUUACGCAAUGCAACUUCCCAAUUCAAGCCUCAACUCGCUCGUUAAAUACUUGCAACGGUACAUAUAACUACUCCAGCUAAAGUCUGAGUUGAGCUACAUACUCUCAACAUGUUCAAGCUUAACUCUAAAUCACAAGGUACUUCAUAUAACACCAUAAUACUAGUCUAAACCAUGAAAUUAAUACCCCAUGCAUUUUCACAACUUCUCAUCUCAAGAAUGAUUCUUCUUACGACUUCAACAACUAAAUUCAACCUCUUACUAGGAAUUCACUAGAACAAAAUACACCCAUCCACUUAUAUACCAACAUGACAUUCAAUCCUAUCUUUAUAACCACAUAUGAACUUCUAGGCAAACAACCCAUAAAAGCAUCUUUCUCAUGUUCUCUAAGCCUUUAUCAAUAACAACUUUCAUUUACUAUUCUUAAGAAGUCACACAUGGACUUCUCAACUAACCAUGACAUAUACCAAAAGCUUUGCCUCAAUCUCCCUCCAUACUUAUAGCCUUAGAUAAAAUAAGCAUGGAACAAUCUUUCCCCAACAUAAAAUAUUCACUUUCUCCCAUCUAAAUAAUUGUUCAUCACCACUAUCAUUUUAGAAGGAGAGAUCACUGAAAGGUUAGAUCAUGAGGACCUAAAGCAUGAAAGAAUACUAUGCAUGAUUUUUCUUUACACUUAACUGAAGCUUGAGGAAUAGAGUAUCAAUGACAUGAAUUCAUUACAGAGAUCAAAACUGAGGGCAUACAUGUCAUAGAUCUGAAUUUUCACUAGUCAUUAAGAGUUCACCAGAAAUGGGAACUAAGCACACUAUAAAUCAAGAGUAUAUGAGUCAUGAGUUGUAUGACCUGAGUUUGGAGUUCAAAAAUUCAUGGAAUAUGAUCUGUACUGUCGAGUGAACUGGAACUCCCUAUACUAGGAACUAAGAGCAUACACAAUUCUAUAGAAAGUGCAUGAAUAUAAGAUAUGAUCAUGAAGCUGACAUGUAUGGCAUGAUUAGAAAUCAUGAUGAAUGAAGUAUAAAAAUUUGCAUUGAGAUAAAAAUGGAUCGGACAUAUUCCUCCCCUAGUGUUGUUCUACAACAAACUGGCAUCACUACUAGAAUCUGAGAUCCUGACUUGGCUUCUUGUCCUAUUAUCUCCCCCUUAGAUUAAAGUUAUCAUUCUAAUAUAUGGACCCUUUAAUAAACUCUAAAUUGAACUACAACCACUUUACUCUAGAGUUUGAGAUAUAAAAAUACACAUCAAUAAUAAACUCACCCUAAAAGACUGCACCUGAAAGCAUAAAAACCCACUGUUAAUACUUCCUUAUAAGAUACAACUCUUAGCUUUUUAUAGCCCAUAACUUUGCUGGUAAGAAUAUCAUAUACUAUAUUACUGGCUUCAUUCAACUCAAGGAUACUAUCUGAGCAUACACAUUAAUACUUAUAAGUAAUACAAUCCCAUAUCACCUUGGGUACACCUCUAGAUCAUAUCCAUAUCAUCAUACAUAAUUUUGAAUCAAUAAACUUAAAUUCUUGCAUAUACUGCUUCAAGCCUGCUAGUUCAGAGCUCAUACACUAUCCCCAUGGAUACAUAAUCAACUGAAUACAGAUAAACACUAUCUCUACUUUACUAUUGUUAAACUUCUAGGUUUAUGUUUCUAACUCUAGGUCAUAUGCUAUCAUAGGAUUCUGAGAAGGGAUCUGAAAACAUUUCUGACUUUAGCUUAGUGCACAUUUUCAUGAACAUGAAUGAAAUCUUUCAAACUUUAGAACUUAAAAGCACUAAUGGGAUACUUUUGAGACUACGUGCAAUCCUAUAGCUGUCUAUGGGGAUUGUCCGAGAAAACUCUAUCUGUAAGGAUUUAAGCUUGGCUAUUUCUGUUGCCUCAAGAAUAAGGCAGAGUUGGCACAAAUGGAUUAACAUAAGCAUCUGCAUAAGUUUCUUAAAGAAUAAUUGUACUGUAUGAUCUGUGACAUGAAAGAAGGGAAAUAUUUCUUAAACACCCUGUAGCCUCUUGAAGAAAAGUACAGGUGUUUUCGUACCAUUCCAUAAGACUCUACUAGACACGACUUCAUAGACACCCUAGGACACUUGAACUUUGUACUUUGAUACUAGGUUUUUUCAUAACUCGAGACUAUCCCUUAGUCAUAACACGAUGAUUGGAAUCACAAGUGAUACCAAGCUAACCCAAAAAUUAGCAUACUACUUGAGCAACUGGUUUAAAUUGUACAAAAACUAAAUUUACUAAUCAAAAAUAUGAUCAUGAGAAAGUCUGAAUAAAUGUAAUACUGAUAAAGUUUAAAAUAUGAUAAAACUGAAGAAUGAAACUUGAAUUACAUGUAAUGACUCUGCCUAACUAUCUAUGAAGCCUCUACUAUACUAACUAUAGAUUACUGGGACAUGCCUCCUACUACCACAACUCAAUACAUAUGGAUAAUCAAAAUAAAACACAUGAACUAAUGGACUGGAGUUCCCGAAAUAGGAAAACUCAUCACUUAUUGGCUGAAUGAUGAGAACUGUCUGACCUAGGUGUAUGAGCUACGUCUGGUACCUACAUUACGAAGAAUGUAACCACAAAGGUAUAUAUGUGGUCAGUACAUUGAAAUGUACUGAGUAUAUGGAGACAUGCACUAAAUCAUGAAAAUACUUGAAAUAUGCUUUAAAAUUGAGGACGUAAGUUAUUCACUGAAUCAUACAUUUAAAAACCUGGCUAUACGUGAAAACUGAAAGUCAUAGUGAGAUUUAUAAAUCCUAAGCUAAAAAUAAUUAGGUAAGUUGAGGAAGCAUUAGAAACAUGAAUACUGUAUGAAAUUAUUAUGUAAAGCUAAAAAUGCUGUAAAAAUGUACUGAGGAUCAUGUAUGAAUACUGGUCUGAAAUUAUGUGAUGGAAACUGACAUAAAAUCAUUCACAUUUGAACUGAAAUGUAAACUGUCAUUACUCGAGGAUCUGAAUAUAUAAAUAUACUGAGCAUGAAUGCAUAAACAUAUAAAACCAAAUAUAACAUCAUUAAGACAUUGGUAGUGAAUCAUAAUUUAGGGGACCCAAAACAUAAUGUGCUAGAAUGACUUCUAACUUUAUAAAUUUCAAAAUGGAAAUAAGUUAAGCUUGAGAGGAUAUCAUGUUUACAUGACUAAAUACAUGAAUUUGACAACUUGACUUGGUAUUGGACAAACAUGACAUGUAAGUUUGAAAUUUAAAUCAUAUGGAACCAUAAUUCACAUGAACAAGCUAAUAGCAUGACUUGAAUGUAACAUUACUGAGGAAACAUGGAUAAUUUCAUGAAUUUCGCUGAAUUAAAUCAUAGUAAAGAGUAAAAAUUCAUACUCAAAUCAAAAAGAGGAUUUUUGGGACUCAAUAGGUGGAAGGAACCCAUUGAUGAAUAACCCACAUACCUCAAUGGUUAGAUUCUGAAGAAGGCUUGAACUUGAAAACUUGAACUCUUGGAUUCUUGAGAAGGGAUGUUUGAAUUGUUUGUUCUUGGGAAGGGGGAGGGUUUCUACAAGAGUUAUUCUGAUGAUUAUGGAAAAAUAAUGCCCUUUUGAGUGUCACAAAUUAUGUUUUGGACAAUUGGGAUUGAGGGUAAAGGACCAAAUAACCCCUUGGCCUCUUUAAUCAUGAAGUUGAAAAUACAAUGCCUCUGCAUCGCAGACCCUAUAGCUGGGGAAUAGCCUACACAACGCAGACCAUAUUGCGGGGGAAUAGCCCACAUGGCACCAACCCUAUCAUGGGGAAUAGCCUCCGUGGUGAGGUCAUAUGGCGGAGGCUCACUGCUUUUGUGGUGUAAACAUACCCCGAAUCCCAUCCAAAAAUUCCAAAACUUUUCCAAGACAUGCCAUUAACAUCCCUAAACAUGUUUCAACUCAAAAAAAAUGUCUCAAGUUUGGGAAUGCAAAAAAUAAAAUUAAAAUCUUAGGGUCUUGAAAAUGACUUAAGUCCUCAAUACUUAGUGAAAAUUUCAAGCCUUGGACCCCUUAACAUGCAACCAAAAGCUGAGUCGAUCUUAGAAUCUUACGGGGUAUUAUACAAUCUUUCUUCAAACUUAUAGCCUUAGAUAAAACAAGUAUGUGAUAAUCUUAUGCUAAUAAGGAUCAUUUACUCUCUCCCAUCUAAAUAAUUAUUCAUUGCCACCAUCAUUUCAGAGGUCACCUGAAAGGUUUGAACAUGAGGUCCUAAAGCAUGAAAGUAUAUUAUACAUAACCUUGACACUUAACUGAGGCCUGAGGAAUAGAGUAUCAAAGGUAUGGAUUC
rnacentral:lncRNA from 1 species